AGGUCCUGCCUGCCCAGUGACUAUGUUAAACGGCCGCGGUAUUUUGACCGUGCAAAGGUAGCGCAAUCACUUGUCUUUUAAAUGAAGACCUGUAUGAAUGGUGAAACGAGGGCUUAACUGUCUCCCUUCUCAAGUCAAUGAAAUUGAUCUGCCCGUGCAGAAGCGGGUAUACAAAUACAAGACGAGAAGACCCUUUGGAGCUUAAGAUUAAAAAUCAACUAUGUCAAAUAUUCAUCAAAUAAAACCAAAUAGUAACUGAUCAUAAUCUUCGGUUGGGGCGACCACGGAAUAAAAAUAAACUUCCACAUGGACUGAGGACUAACCUUAAAACCAAGAAAGACAUUUCUAAGUCACAGAAUUUCUGACCACACAGAUCCGGCAAAUUGCCGAUCAAUGGACCAAGUUACCCUAGGGAUAACAGCGCAAUCCCCUUUUAGAGUUCCUAUCGACAAGGGGGUUUACGACCUCGAUGUUGGAUCAGGAC
rnacentral:rRNA from 1 species